UCUCUGUUGGAUCCUUGAAUUGCUGUUUCCGUGAAAUAAGAAGUGAUCUUUUGAAUUCAUGUUAACUGCUGUCUGCUGCAUUGGAUCCACCUGCUCUGGAUUACACGACGUCUACGAUCCAAGGCUGUUCAAAAGAGGCUGAGACACGCUCCUUGACCCCAUGGGAGCCUUGGGUAUGCCAUAUACACAUUUUACCCCAAGCUGCGACGUUGGAGGGUUACACCAGACUGCGUUGGAAAUAAAGCAUCUCACUCAAAUAUGGUCACUUCUGGCUC